AUCCAGCUAACGAGUGCCAGAUAGGACGAAACGUGCGUCCUGGAU
rfam:Schistosoma curassoni strain Dakar, Senegal genome assembly, scaffold: SCTD_scaffold0000471